rnacentral:lncRNA from 1 species
AGAUUCCCUGUACGUAUUUAUGAUUUGAGCUGAAGCACGAGAUACCAAGAGAUUCCUGGCAUAUAUUGAGGAUACCAUGAGAUCCUCGGGAUACCAAAAGAUCCCUGAUACAUAUUGAGGAUACCAAGAGAUCCCUAGUACAUAUUGAGGAUACCAAGAUAUCCUUGGGAUACCAAGAGAUCCCUGCUAUAUAUUGAGGAUACCAAGAGAUCCAAGGAUAUAGAGAUCCAUGGAUAUUUAUCUUUAUAAAAAGUGAUUGUUUUUGUGAUUGUUUUGUCUCUGUUUUCAGUUAUUGUUGUUAUCCUUACAAUCCUGUUUUAGUUCUCACUGUUCUCUUUGAACUGUAUUGUUUUACCUUAUAAUAUUAUACCUUACAUUUAAUUUAAUCUCAAUAGGGCUCUGACCUUCCUCGUCACUACUCGACCGACGUUAGGCUUGGAACUUACUGAGUACCGCUGUGGUGUACUCGUGCACUUUUUGCAUAUAUUUUUCAUGCGCAGAUAUAGGUACCUCUACUCAGACUUAUCACUCAUUAGGCGAGGCACUAUAGAGACUCCGAGGUAUAUCUGUUGCGUCCGUAGACCGCAGAAUCCCUUUCUACUCUUCAUUUUGUAUUAGCCUUUCUGUACUUCUAUUUUUUUGUUAGAUAUUCUGGAGUUGGACACUUGUAGACAGUCAAUGUCUUGUAAUCAUGAGUUUCCGAGUUUUGAAAAAUGCUUAGUUUUUUGGGAGCUAUUAUUGUGUAUGCCGAGCGGCACUUUUAAACACUUCUUUACUUCAUUAUUUUUUGCUUUUGAUUAUUUCUUCUACAAGUUUUGGUUAUUUUUCCGCAUUUUUAGACUUACCUAGUCGUAUAGACUAGGUGCCGUCACGAUGAUUCACGGAGGACGAACGGGGGUCGUGACGCCGGGGGAGUAAUACAAUAAUCAUAUAGCCCCCUCCCUCUUACCUCUAAAUGGAUGAAGUUUGACAUAAAUAUGAUAUCUCAAAUGGGAUCUUUUCUACAAUUUUGCACCAUCGACUCCAAGUGGCCAUGUUUCACUACCACAUUUAUUGCUCUUUUGAAAUAUAGUGGUGGUUGAUGGUGAUGACUUAUAUUGAUGGUAAUGCGACAGAGGCAGAUGGUAGAGAAGCUUCGUAGUGGUGGGUUGGUGACUAGUGGUCGAGGUGGUUGAUGGUUGUGUGGUAUAGGCUAAUGACAGAGGUGAUUGGUGAUAAGCUAGUUGAUGAUGAUAGAUAUGUCGUAACGAUUGACUAUGGUAUUGUUAGCUGUUGUAAAAAAUAGUACAACGAUAAAAUGUUGCAUUUAUAGGAAUCUUUAUAUUUAAAUGAAUGUUUUAGCAAUAUUAAAACUAUGUAUAAAAUCGAAAUAAUUUAGACUAAUAAGUGAUUGAGAAAAUAAAUAAACUAAUGCGCUUAAUAGUUUGAGAUCUAAAUAAGUCAUAUUGAGACUCCAUGAAAUACAAAUAAAUAUAGACUUAAAUGGAUCAAAUUUUGGAGCCCAAGAGUAAAAUCUCUUGCACUUUAUGUCUACUAAUUAAUUAUAUUUUACCUGGUCGUGGGGCUCCCUAACUUGAAACUAAGGGUGUUAAACGGCUGGGUAAACCCAUUCUCAGACCGAUACAUAGGGAGCUGGGUGGGCUGGGUUAUUGGGUAAAGGGGGUUGGUCCGUUCACAUUUGUUCAACCAGUUAACUAGAUCAGUCAAAUUCGGUUAACUUAAAUCACUAUAGAACUGGUUAACCGGCCCGGACCGGACCGGUCCCGACUGAUUCAACGGCUAGUCUUUCAAAUUUUUAUUUUUUUUAAAAUGUUCUGACCAUCGGCAACGGUCAGCUGGGCCAACGGGUCAUUUCCAACGGGUGUUUUGCACAAAUAGACCUUUUUGGGACUUUUUUUAAAAUUAAUACUUUUUAUAAUUACUAAUUUAGCCCUUCAAAACAUUAUAAAUACCCUCCCCCUCCCCCAUCUUCAUUUCUUCACUCAUCUCUGUUUUCUAAAACUCAUAUUCUCAAUUAUCAUUCUCCCAUUCUUCAUAUAAAGUGCAAUCAUGUAUUCGGCUAUCUUUUUUUUGAAUUUAAUUUAUCGUAUUAUUUAUUCUUUGAAGUUUGAACAGUUGACGUUUCUUCAUAGUAAUACUGGAGUUGCGAAAUCAUCAAGUGCAUAAUUUAUUGCCGAAUUUGGCGCACACCUUACAACUCUUUUUCUUAUUUACUACUAUUUUAUUUGCAUAUUUAAUUUUUACUAGUAGUUAAAUUUUCACAAUAUGUUUAAUGCUGCAAAAAAAUUCGUAAUAAGAUUACUGAUCGGAAAAAUAGAAAAAGAGGUACUAUUUCAUCAUCUAGUAGUAAUUUGAAUGACUCUACACAUAUUUAUAAACUAUUACCUGAUAAUAAUAUACAACAACAACAAUAAUAAUAAAAACAAUGACGACGAUGAUCCAGUGAAAUCCUAUUAGUAGAAUCUAGGAUGGUAGUGUGUACACAGACCUUACCCCUACCCCGGAGGAAUAGAGAGGUUGUUUCCGAAAGACUAUCGGCUCAAGAGGACAAAAAGACAAAAGGAGACAAAAUCAGUAACUCCACAGAAAUAAUAGAAAAUAGGAAUAAUAUGGAAAAUAGGAACAACAUGAAAUCCAAAAGAAAGAUAUAAAGCAAAAGCGAAAUAGUAUCCCUACAAAACUAAUCCCACAAAGUUAUGACAUAAGGUAAUACUCAACUACCUCCUAACCUACCACCUUAAUAUUCGACCUCCACUUGUAUAUACAAUAUACAAGUGUAAAGAUACUACAUGUAGAAUAUAUCUGAUAGUGUAAAAAAUUUAUUAUGUUUAAUUAUUGUGUCAGUGAACUAUAAAAAUCUCUAUACUUCUCUCCUUCAAUUCGGCUCUUUAUUUUCUGAUUCUCCGACAUCGUCUUCAACGGUCACUUAUGCCGGUGACCUGAUAAUAACAUAAAUUAUGAACAAUUACAAGAAUAUUUCGGUAUAGAAGAUAAUGAAUUAGAAAUCGAAGAUGAGACACCACUUACACCUAGUAGUGUUGGAGUUGGUAGCAGGGGUGGUGGUCGUGGUGCUAGUAGUAGACCACCUGUGGCCCUGACUACUAUUCGAAUAAAAACAAGUAAGGUUUAAAUUUUUUUUGACGAAAUAGUAGGUACUGAUAAAGUUAAAUGCAGACAUUGUAAUGAUGAUUUUAAGCAUAUGACUGGAGGACAAUUAGGGAGACUGUGACACUUAGUAGACAUAUGAGAAUUGAGCAUCUUAUAGAAUAGUGCUCUGAUGGAUUUGGAAAUCAAGCAACUCUAAAUCCUAUGACUGGAGGACUAUGAAAUAUGAUAAAAUGAAGGAUCGUCUGGAGUUAGCAAAAAGAAUUGCUUUGGGUUGUCUACCUUUUUGCUUCUUUAUCAUAUCUUAUUAUGUAUAUUCAAUUAAUUUAUAAUCAUUUAUUAAAAGGUAUCCCUAGAAUACUUGUAAAUCUUAUUCCUUUAGACUUCGUGAAAAAUUUCAAACAUAUAUACGUUAUUUGUUUAGCCGCCUUCCUUGUAGAGUUUCUCUAACUUCUGAUAUAUAUUGGUCAUGCUGUUAAUGAAAAUGAUUAUUUAAAAAUUACAUGUCAUUAGAUAGAUGAUAAUUAUUAUAUGCAAAAAUUUAUUAUCACUUUUAAUUAUGUUGAAAAUCAGAGUCAUACUGUUGUGUUUAUAAGUACUACUAUUUUCAAAGUUGUUAAUUUAAUCUUAAGAAAAAGGUAUUAUGUAUGUAUUUUGAUAAUGCAUCUAACAAUAAUGCCGCAAUUUCAAUAUUAAAACUGCAUUUGCAACCACUACUUGACAAAAUUUCUCAUGUUAGGUGUGCAUGUCAUGUUUAUAAUUUAAUUGUUAAAAAUGGCCUUGAUUUAUUUCAACUGAGAUUACUCAUGUUAGAAGAGCAGUUGAAGUUAUUCAAGGAAAUAAUCGACAAUCUAGAAUUAUAGAAUUUAAGAAUAAGUGUACCGAGCAUAACCUUAAGCCCAGAUUCAUGUCAUACGAAAUUAUUACUAGAUGGAAUUAUACAUUAUUUAGAAUGUUGGUACAAAUAUAGAUUCCCAAUAACUAAAGUUGCUAAUACACAUUGUACUGAUCCAAACCAUAUGUUAACAACUACUAUUUGGGAGGUUGAUGUUGUUAAAUUUUUACAUAAAUUUUAUAUAAAUACUGUUGAGUUUUUUGGAACAUGUUACCCUACAAUUACUAUGGCUUUAGUAUAUAUAGCUGAAAUUUCUUUUCUACUUCUAAAUUUAAGAAGAAAGAAAACAUAUAAGGAUGUUGUUGAAAAAUACAAGAAAAAUUUAAAAAAUAUUUCUUUUCAAUUCCUCUGAUUUACUUAAUUGGCUCUGUUUUAAAUCAUUCUAUUAAGAUUUCAUAUUGUCACCAAUUAAUCAAUAACUUAUAUACUUAUAUGGAGAUCGGACCAACUGAGACACACACACACACACACACACACAUAUAUAUAUAUAUAUGUAUAUAUAUGUAUAUGUAUAUAUAUAUAUAUAUAUGUAUAUAUAUAUAUAUAUAUACAUAUAUAUGUAUAUAUAUAUAUAUGUAUAUAUAUAUAUAUAUNNNNNNNNNNNNNNNNNNNNNNNNNNNNNNNNNNNNNNNNNNNNNNNNNNNNNNNNNNNNNNNNNNNNNNNNNNNNNNNNNNNNNNNNNNNNNNNNNNNNNNNNNNNNNNNNNNNNNNNNNNNNNNNNNNNNNNNNNNNNNNNNNNNNNNNNNNNNNNNNNNNNNNNNNNNNNNNNNNNNNNNNNNNNNNNNNNNNNNNNNNNNNNNNNNNNNNNNNNNNNNNNNNNNNNNNNNNNNNNNNNNNNNNNNNNNNNNNNNNNNNNNNNNNNNNNNNNNNNNNNNNNNNNNNNNNNNNNNNNNNNNNNNNNNNNNNNNNNNNNNNNNNNNNNNNNNNNNNNNNNNNNNNNNNNNNNNNNNNNNNNNNNNNNNNNNNNNNNNNNNNNNNNNNNNNNNNNNNNNNNNNNNNNNNNNNNNNNNNNNNNNNNNNNNNNNNNNNNNNNNNNNNNNNNNNNNNNNNNNNNNNNNNNNNNNNNNNNNNNNNNNNNNNNNNNNNNNNNNNNNNNNNNNNNNNNNNNNNNNNNNNNNNNNNNNNNNNNNNNNNNNNNNNNNNNNNNNNNNNNNNNNNNNNNNNNNNNNNNNNNNNNNNNNNNNNNNNNNNNNNNNNNNNNNNNNNNNNNNNNNNNNNNNNNNNNNNNNNNNNNNNNNNNNNNNNNNNNNNNNNNNNNNNNNNNNNNNNNNNNNNNNNNNNNNNNNNNNNNNNNNNNNNNNNNNNNNNNNNNNNNNNNNNNNNNNNNNNNNNNNNNNNNNNNNNNNNNNNNNNNNNNNNNNNNNNNNNNNNNNNNNNNNNNNNNNNGAGGGGGGAGGUGGGAGGAAGGGGGGAGGUAAUUUGUGUGGUGACCAAUUUUUUGCUUAAACUGAUUAUAGAAGGACCUGGUUCUUCUAUGCAUUCCAACUGCUACAGUUGCAGAAUAAUAAAUGUAGAAAGUAAAGAACACAAGUAUUUUUACGUGAAAAUGCCCGGCUCAAAAGGUGAAAAAAUCACGACCUAUUACUCAAUUGGAUUUUCCCAACACAUCACUAAAUCACUAAGCCAAAACAGCAUUUACAAAACUAAGGAUUACCUCUAAUCCUGUCAUAGAAACCAGCCUCUAACUGUUGCGACAACUUCAAGUUAACUCUAACUUGAAUACUUAAAGUACCUAUUACAAUUGCUUCUAGAUAAGGCUGAAAAGUACAACAUGAAAAUACUUACUACAAUUGAACUAGAAAUAAAGAAAGACACAUAAAACUCUUUAUGGAUUUGGUUCUUCAAUCUGGUUCAUGUAGCUUCAGGUUUACGCACUUGAAUCACACACGAACUGCUUGCAAAAGGCCUUGCUAUUUUGCUCUCAAUUCAUGUUUAACUUCUGUGUUUUUGUGCCGCCUGUGAUGUGAGAACAUCCUGCAACUUAUAGAGUUAGUAGAUGAAGAAAUAACUAGAAUUCUGAUGCAACUCAUCCUUGGUGGAAGAGUUCAGUUGAUUUCAACUUAUAACUCCUUCCCUAUGGUGGAUAUUGUUCUCUUUGAUUAAAGACUCCUUCUCCUUAUCAAUUAUGCAACUUUUUCAAUUAGGAGAUAUUAAAUACACCAAGUUAAGUUUAUCUCCUUCAAGUGCAUCCCACAUGCUUGAAUCUGCCCAGUUCAUGCCUAAGUUCCUUUGUCAGUCUUCAAAACUAACAUUUACUUGGGCCAACAAAUUCUCCCUUUUUGAUGAUUACAAACUCGGUGGAUUUCAUACACUUAUGCCAUGUCAGAGCUCAGCUCUACAUUAAUGCAAAAUUAGAAAUUUUUCACAUAUCAUCAAGGACCAGGUACAUUAAGUUAUAAACAUCAAUAUUUAAAGUGUAAAUAUCACCUGUUUAAAGCACAAUCUUUUUUCCCCUUUUGACAUCAUCGCAAAUUCACAUAAAAAUGUGAGAUAGCCAGAUUUUAAAGCUAACUCAUGGCCAUUGGGCUACUUCAAAUGCAAUCAUGGAUUAAUCUUCAUAGAUCAAGCUAAGAAUUUUUAGCCAUCAAAGAAAUAUAAACAAACAGUUAGAGCAAAAGAUAGUGAAUUUCAUUGAUGAUCGAUAAGAUUCUACCAUAGAGCAUACGAAAAAAUAAAAAUACUAAAAAUAUGAGCAAAAGAAACAAAAAGUCCCGAACUGGGUCACUAGUUGAUCUACACUAGGCUAGAAGGCUUAAGGCUGGGAAGAACUAGGUGCUUGGUUUUUGACUUGUAGGAGUUUGAGCAUACCUUGAAGAAUGCCAUCAUUCUUCUCCUUUUCUCUUGCUAGCUCAGUUCUAAGAGCAUCUCUCUUAGUCUCCACCUCAACUAACAUUUUCUUCAGCCUUUCAAUCUCAGCAUCUUAGACUUACUUUCUUGCACCAAGGCUCUGACCUUGCUAUUCACUAGUAUCUUUUUGGAUGAACUAGGUCUUUAGGAGUGACAUUGACUUCAAAAUCGCAAGCAAGCAGAGUAUUAACCAAAAAUUAUCCACGCUUGUACUAACCUCCUACUUUUUCAUAAGUACAUUGAAAUAAGCAAGCGCAGUUGUGAGAAUGAAACCAUAGGGAAUGGUAUGAGUUUACUACCAUUAAUAACUCUAUCAAGAAGCUGGAUUUUAGCUUUCAGUCAUUUUCUUCUGCAAGUCUGCGAGGGUUUUCUCUACAGAUGAACCAGGUUCAUCUCCCUAAACAACCAUUGCAUAUAUGUCUUUGGUUAAACUCAUAUGAGUGGGUGAAGAAUCAGCCACUCUUGUCCACUUUCCCCUCACAGUACUCCUAGCACUCUUGCUCUCCUUUUUUUCUUUUUCAUUUAUACCACCAACUUCUCCAGAUUCUGUAUUCUCAACACCUGCAAUAGAUCCUACAAAUCUAUUUUCCAAAUUUGCAGCAACUUUAGAAAUUUUCUCAGGAGAAACUUUAGAAUUAGAAGGUACCUGUUCAAUUUUGUAAGAACCACUUUCUUCCCCCUGAGUAACAGACUUAAAAGUAUCUAGGUAGUUUAAUACAGUCAGGAGUCCUGAACGUAAAUAGUUCACUUGUAACGGAUACGUUCACAAGAACUUUGAAAUUUGGUAGGACUCUACUCAUGAUCCAAAUAUAGUUAUUUCUAAUUAUGCAGAGUGUAGAAAACAUAUCGUGUUAUCUUGAUGAACCAGGUUCUUCACUGAUAAGUCUCUUGAGUAAGUCUAAAUUUACCAAAAUAGAGAAAAUAUCAUUAGAGAUUAGUGAGUCAUUUUAACACGUGUCACAAGAGUAUACUAUAGAAAGUAUGAGGCUAGGAAAGAUAUAAUCUAAUUAUAUACAAUUUACAAACUUUCUAACCAAAUUUUUUUUUCAAUUUUUUCGUUUAACCUUGAACUGGUCCUUUUAGGCGAUCAUAAUCAUCCUAAUUCCAACAUGUGAAGAUGUUAGCAAUUUGCUUGUCAGUAGCACAAAACUCCACAGUGAUCAAGCCUUUCUCAUAGUUGAACCUUUUGUGAAGAUGUCAGCAAUUUACUUGUCAGACGCACAAAACUCCACACUGGUCAAGCCCUUUUAAUAGUUGUCCCUCAAAAAAUGGUGUCUAAAAUCUAUGUGCUUAGUUCUCUUAUGAUGAACCAGAUUCUUAGUCAUACUAAUAGCAAUAGUGUUAUCACAUAAAAUAGGAAUGCAACCAACUUCGAUACCAAAAUCCACCGACUAUUGUUUGAUCCAUAACAAUUGAGCACAAUCAUGAAGUAGAAGCAACAUACUCAGCUUCGGUAGUAGAUAAAGCCACUGAAUUUUACUUUUUAUUGGCCUAUGAUACAAGACAUGAACUAAGAAAAUGAGCCAUACUUGAGGUGAUCUUCCUUUCCACAAAAAAACCUGCAUAAUCAGCAUCAGCAUACCCUACUAGAUUGAAAUUACUACCUUUAGGGUAUCAAAGACACAGAUCAAUAGUGCUUUUAAAAUAUCUCAGUAUUCUCUUGAUAGCAGUUAAGUGAGAUUCCUUUGGAUUAGCCCGAAAAUGUGCACAAAGCCUUAUGCUAAAAACUAUGUCAGGUCUGCAUAAUCAGCAUCAGCAUACCCUACUAGAUUGAAAUUACUACCUUUAGGGUAUCAAAGACACAAAUCAAUAGUGCUUUUAAAAUAUCUCAGUAUUCUCUUGAUAGCAGUUAAGUGAGAUUCCUUUGGAUUAGCCCGAAAAUGAGCACAAAGCCCUAUGCUAAAAACUAUGUCAGGUCUGCUGGCAGUAAGAUACAAAAGUGAACCAAUCAUACCCCUAUACAACUUCUGAUCAACAGAUGAACUAGGUUCAUCUAUAUCUAAUUUAGUGAUCGUUGCAAUGGGAGUUUUUAUUUCCUUUGAUUCAUCCAUUUUAAAUAUUUUGAUCAAUUCUUUUUCAUAUUUCUGCUAAUAGAUCAUGGUUCCAUUAGGGUUUUGUUUGAUCGGUAAGCCUAAGAAAAAGUUAAUCUCACCCGAUAUACUCAUUUAAAACUCACUCCCCAUUAAUUUGGCUAAGUCCUUACUUAGUUUGUCAAUGGUUGCCCCAAAAAUUAUGUCAUACAUAUAUUUGUACCACAAGAUAAUCCUUAGCUUUAUCCCUCAAGAAUAGAGUACUGUCAAUUUUGCCUCUUUUGUAGCCAUGCUCAAGCAGGAAUUUAGAUAAUCGUUCAUACCAUGCUCUAGGAGCCUGCUUAACUCCAUAGAGAGCGUUGUCUAAUUCGUACACAUGUUUAGGACUUUCCUUACUUCAAACCCUGGAGGUUUCUAACAAAUACUUCUUCUUUUAGAUAGCCAUUCAAGAAGGCACUUGCGACAUCCAUCUGAUGAAAAGUGAAUUCCAUGUGUGCUGCAAAGGCUAUAAGGAGUCUUAUUGCCUCCAGUCUUGCCACUGGACCAAAGGUCUCAUCAUAAUCUAUACCGACUUCUUGGAUAUAACCUUGGACCACCAGUCUUGCCUUGUUUCUGUAACUGUUCCAUCUUCAUCAAGCUUGUCUCUGAAGACCCAUUUUGUGACAAUUACAGAUCUGUCCUUGGGUCUAGGAACUAGAUGCCAAUCUUGACUUCUAUCAAACUGAUUGAGUUCAUCUUGCAUUGUAUUUACCCAAUCUGCAUCCUGCAAAGCUUCAAUAACAUUUUUAGAUUCAAUAAGAGAUAUAAAAGCAUCAAAAGUACACAUAUUCUUUAAUUGUGAUCUAAUUUUAAAUACAGAGGUUGGAUUAUUAGUUAUGUUCUCAGCGAGAUAAGAACCUUGAUACUUGUGAGGUUUCACAACCAACGGAUUUCUACUUGAUGUUUCUCCCAUGUUUUGUUGUUGAGGAAUAGGAUCAUGAACAAAUUCCUUUAAGGAAUUGGUUUCAGUUUCUCUUUGAUUAGUUCCCCUUGUCAGGUUGCCCUUAAUAGAAGAACCUGUUCCAUCACCCAUUCCUUCUUUUGGUGCCACUUUGGCUUGAUCUAAGACUUCACUCUUUUACUAGCCCAAUGGAUUCAUCUUCAUGUUACUGUCUCUCAAAAAGAAUGUUAGUUUCAUCAAACACUACAUGUACACUUUCUUCUACACACAAAGUUCUUUUAUUGGACACUUUAUAUGCUUUGCUAUGUGAAGAAUACUCCCUCAUCACUUCUGCAAUCCAACUUACCUAGGGAUUCCUUUUCAUUAUUGUGCACAAAGCACUUGCAUCCAAAUGCCCUAAGAUGGGAUAUAUUUAGCUUUCUCCCUUUAAGUAACUCAUAGGGAGUCUUCUCUACAAGAGGUCUAGUCAUACAUCUAUUUAAGAUAUAAUAUGCAGGGUUUACAGCUCUGCCCAGAAGCUAUGGGAUAAUUUACUAGAAAGAAGCAUAGUCCUAGCCAUAUCUUCAAGAGUCAUGUUCUUUCUUUUAACUACUCAAUUUUGUUGAGGAGUCUUAGGGGCGGAGAAGUUAUAAUCUAUACCAUGCUCAUCAUAAAAUUCAGAAAACUUAGCAUUUUCAAAUUCAAUUCCAUAAUCAGACCUGAUCGAUGCAACUUGAUUACCUAGUUGUUUCUGAGUUUUUCUAACAAAGGCAGUAAACAUAUCAAAUGCUUCAUCCUUAGAUGUUAAGAAUAGUACCCAGGUAAACCUACAAUAAUCAUCAACAAGUACCAUCACAUAUUUAUUACUACCUCUGCUCAAUGUUCUCAUUGGACCACAGAGAUCCAUAUGAACCAGUUCCAACGUCCUGGUCGUGUUUAAAAAUUUCUUGCUUUUAAAGGAUGAUCUUCUGCUUCCCCUUGCACAGGCCUCACAAACUUUAUCUUCCUUGAACUUCAUAUUAGUUAACCUUAUCACCAAGUCCUUGGAGAUUAAUUUGUUGAGUUGAUUCAGACUUGCAUAACCAAGUCUUUUGUGCCAUAGGAGGGGAUUAUUUUCCAACACACUCAAGCAAGUGAGUUCAUUUUUUGAAAGAGUUGAAAAAUCUACAAUGUAAAUAUUGUUAACUCUUUUUCCCUGCAAAACAACCUUGUCAGUGAUAAGGUUAAUCACAAAACAUCACACUUAAGCAAGUGAAUUCAUUUUCUGAAAGAGCGGAAAAAUCUACAAUAUAAAUAUUGUUAACUUUUUUCCCUGCAAAACAAAUUUGUCAGUGGUAAGGUUAAUCACAAAGUAUUUGGUAGAGGUAAAUGCUACAAGGUUACCUCUGUCACACAGUUGUGAUACACUAAUUAGGCUAUAUUUCAACCUAUCUAUCAAGUAGACAUUCUCAAUGGAGUGUGGGUCUGUCUUACCUACCUUUCCAACCCCAAUAAUCUCACAUUUCUUCCCAUUUCCAAAGGAUACAUUACCUCCUUUUACGUUCUCAAGUGAAAGGAACUGGUUCUUGUUUCCAAUCAUACGUUUUGAGCAGCCAUUAUCCAUGUACAAUAUUCGGCUACUUCCCUUCACUUGGACCUCUUGUUCAUCAUCUGAUUCUCCGAUGGCCAUAAGUGCUUGUCCAUCUCCAACUUUAUCUUCUGAGUCCUCAUAUGAUAUUUCUCCCCAAGCAGCAACCAUAGCCUUUCUUGAUCCUUUGUUCCUUUUGGGUUGAACUUGUUCCUUCUUCCUGUUCCUUUGUUCAGCCUUUUACUUCUUCCAUUUAAUUUCCCACUUAGGACAGUUCUUGAUCAUGUGACCAGUCUUGCCACAUUUGUAACAACCCUCAUUGGUAUGUUUCUCAGGAGCCCUUGGUUUGUUGAAAGUUUUACCUCUUGAAGAACCAUUUCCUCUUAUUAGGUACUUUUUGAAAUACCUUGUGAUCAUGGAAAUUUAAUCAUCUUCCAGCUCUGCACCUUCAGCUAUUCUGAGAGCCAGACUCCUCUCCUUCUUGGGUGCAUCCAUUUUCAUGGUUUGCCUUCUUAGUUCAUAAGCAGUGCGGUUUCCAAUCAGUUCAUCCAACUUGAGAGUAGCAAUGUUCUUUGAUUCCUGAAUAGCAGUGGUUUUGCUUUCCCAAGUCACUAUUAAGACCCUUGUCAAGAUUUUCUCAACCUUGUUUUCUUCAAAGAAAAUUCUCCCAAGAGAUUUAAGUUCAUUUGUUAGUGUUGUGAACCUUUUGUACAUCGCUUGGAUAGUCUCUCCUUCCUUUAUAGUGAAAUUCUCAUAUUGAGAAUAUAGCAGUGUUCCUCUUGAUCUAUUUACUUGAGGAGUUCCUUCAUGAGACACUUGUAGAAUGUUCCAUAUUUCCUUAGCAGUGGUAUAGCUUUGAAUCCUAUUGUACUCAUUUGGACCCAGUCCACACACAAGUUAUUUCUUGGCUUUGGCAUUCUUCUCCUAUUUCUUCAAGUCUUCAUCAGUGAAGUCAACUCUUGUCUUGGGCACAUCCAAUCCUUUAGCAUUCUUCUUUGUAGUCGCCAGGGGACCAUCAGUUUCUAUGUCCCGGAGUUCAUAGUCUUCUCCUAUGAUAUGAUCUCUCAUAAUGUUCUUCCACCAAGAAUAGUACCGACCAUUAAAGAGUGGAGGCCUAGUAGUGGAUUGCCCUUCCUAGUUUUCAGGUGGUGCACUCAUCUUGAUCUUUACCUAAGGUAUUAAGCUCUUCAAGGAUAACCUGCUCUAAUACCAAUUGAUGUUUUAUAAUUCAAUACCACACAAGGGGAGGGGGAUGAUUUGUGUGGUGACCAAUUUUUUGCUUAAACAGAUAUGAAAGGACUUGGUUCUUCUAUCUGUUCCAACUACUACUGUUGCAAAAAUAUAAAUAUAGAAAUUAAAGAACAAAAAGUAUUUUUACGUAAAAAAUACUCAGCUCAAAAGGUGAAAAAGCUACGACCUAUUACUCAAUAGGAUUUUUUCCAACACUUCACUAAAUUACUGAGCCAAAAUAACAUUUACAAAACUCUUUGUAAACCUAAGGAUUACCUCUAAUCCCAUCGCACCAACCAACCUCUAACUGUUGCGGCAACGUCAAGUUAACUCUAACUCGAAUACUCAAAGUACCUAUUACAAUUGCUCUACAUAAAGCUGAAAACUAUAAUAUGAAAUUACCUACUACAAUUGAACUAGAAAUAAAGAAAGACACAUAAAACUUUUUAUGAAGCUGGUUCUUCAAUCUGAUUCAUGUAGCUUUAGGUUUGCACACUUAAAUCACACACAAGCUGCUUGCAAAUUGCUAUUUUUCUCUCAAUUCACGUUUAACUUCUGCGUUUUUGUGCCACCUUUCCUACAAUAUAUAGAGUUAGUAGAUAAAGAAAUAACUAGAGUUCUGAUGCAACUCUUCCUUAGUGGAAGAGUUCUAGUUGAUUUCAAAGUCUAAUUCUUUCCAUAUCGUGGAUAGUGUUCUCUUUGAUUAAAGACUCCUUCUCUUUAUCAAUUAUGCAACAUUUUCGAUCAGGAGAUAUUAAAUACACCAAGUUAAGCUUAUCUUCUUUACGUGCAUCCCACAUACUUGAAUCUACCCGUUUUUAUGAACCUGAGGAAUGGACCUAGUUCAUGCCUGAUUUCCUUUGUCAGUAUUCAAAACUGAUCUUUACUUGGGCCAACACAAUGUUAAUCCCACUAUGCAUUGUACCACUUUUACUAUUAUGGAUGAUGAUGAAGGCCUUGAUAGUUUAAAUAUUUUUUCUAAAAAGAGCCUAACUCAAAGAAAUUUUCACCUUUAGGAUGGUGGCAUGAGAAUGGAAAGCAAUUUUCUGUUCUUUCUGCUAUGGCUCGUGACGUGCUGAAUGUGCCAAUUUCAACUGUUGCAUCAACGAGUGCAUUUACCCAAGCAAGACAACAACUUAGAGACACCUGUCACUCAUUAGGAAGUAAUGCUUUGGAAGUUCUAGUAUGUUACAGAGAUUGGAUUAGAUCGGAACGAAGAAAUCAAGGACGUGAAGAUGUUGAUAGCCCAGAAGACGAGGAACUUGGAGAUAUAUUAACACAUGGUAACAAGGACGUGAAGAUGUUGAUAGCCCAGAAGACGAGGAACUUGGAGAUAUAUUAAUACAUGGUAACUUAUAUGAAUUUAACACUCUAGAAGAAUGUCAAUCACUUCAUAUUAAUUAUGAAGAACUUACUAAUUUAAUGCAAAGCCUUUGAAUUUACUCUUUUUCGUUAAUUUACUUGUUGUUAAAUAUUAACUUUUCAAUUUGUAAGUUUGAAUUUUGAAAUAAAUGUAGCACUUGCAAUUUAUAAGUGCAAUUGUUUUUCCAACUUUAUUGUAUUCUUUAUAUUUUGACGUUAUGUUAAUAUAAAUUACAAUAGUUAUACAAAAUACAAAAAAAAAAAAAAAUACUAACCCAGUCCGGCCUCUUGAACAUGUAAUCCUUAAUAAAAAUAGCGUGGAAUAGCCAGUUUUUCGUACGAUAUUUACUUUUAUCUAAUAUUUUUAAUGCUCAACAAAAAUAAUCAUUACUUUAUUAAAAUUAAUAUAAAAAGAUAUUUUUACCCUUACUCCAUGAGAGCUGGAAUGGGCAAAGUAGUUCCGUUGAUUUUAACUUUCACAUAUUACUGGUGUUUCUCUCUAUUGGUUAAUGUUUCUUAAUCUCGUUAGUGGUUUUGUAUUACUCUAGAGAAGUAUUUCUCUUAGCAGAAUAAAUGUCUGCCUUCUUGGAUUUAUAAAUUUUUAUAAGUGUAAAUAUUAAGGAUACGGUGUUUUUAAUAUUUAUACUGUACACAUGAAAUUAAGUAUGUCAUAUACUUAAUAUUUAUAUUGUUCAUAUGAAGUUAAGGACAUGAUGUCCUAUAGUUAAACAACGAAAGGAGAAAAUACAGAACAUUUUGUCCUUAAUAUUUACACAACAUUCAUGAAGUUAAGGACAUUGUGUCUUUGAUAUUUACCAAUACUCAUAAAGUUAAGGGCACUAUGUCCUUAAGAUUUACAUUGCACACAUGAAGUUAAGGACAUCAUCUCCUUAACAUUUACAUUGUACAUAUGAAAUUAAGGACAUGAGGUCCUAAAGUUUAACAACAAAAGAUGCAAAUACAAGUUAAUAACUUUAUGUCUGUAACAUUUAUACUAUAUAUAUGAAGUUAAGGACGCCACAUCAUUAACGUUUACACUAUACAAAUGAAGUUAAGGACAUGUUGUCCUAAAGUUUAAUAACGGAAAGUGCAAAUACAGGUCACUUUCUCCUUAAUAUUUACACAACAUUUAUGAAGUUAAGGACACCAUGUCCUUAAUAUUUACAGUAUUCAUGAAGUUAAGAACACCAUGUACUUAAUAUUUACACAUCAUUCAUGAAGUUAAGGGCACCAUCUCCUUAAUAUUUACACAGCACCCAUGUCUAACACAGGGGUAUUUUCGUUCGACUGGGUAAAAGAUUACUAGGCACUGGCUAAAAAGCAAAUACAUUUAAAAUAGUGGCUAAAGAGUAAAGACAUCUGUAAAAUGACUAUCCAUACACUUCCCACUAUUCCUUACAGUUCAUUUUUUACCCGGAUCGAACCGGAUCCGUUAAGCCCGAUAAACCCUAACCGUCCCGAAUUGGAAUCCGACCGGUUUCAUCUUUUCCCAAUUCGGACCGGACCGACCCACUUGUUUAACACCCUUACUUGAAACUUAGAAAUUUUUCAAAGAGAACUUGGCACCAAGUACCAAUUUAGCUAACUAAUGGGCUAGAAUUAACCUGUUUUUUAUUUAUUAGUAUAAGGCAGCUAGUAAAUGUAUAUCACAAUAAUAGUGUGGAUAUCAAAAUUAACAUUGUGAAAUGCGAAUGUGCAUAAAUAUAAUUUGCAUCAAACCACAAGCUGGUAGCGUGAACCCUAAAGCUUGAUCAAGUCAUUGUAAUGUUUCUAUAGUUCCAUUUGUUUUUUUGUUUAGACGGUAUUAAUUAGGCAAAAUGAGAUUAGGCAAAGUGAGAUGUUAGUUGACAAGAUUUAUGUGUAAAAUGCCGCUAUUAGCCGCCUAACUUCCAAUAUUUUUAGCAAUUCAGAACCUAUAAAUAGGUCCCAAGAUCAUAACACUAAUCAUCUAUAAACACAUAUAUCCAAAUAAAAGAAAAAGCUUUGAAACAACAUUAGCUACUUCGUACAUAUUCUCAAUGGCCUCGAGAGUUUUGUUGAUUGCAUUAGCUGUUGUUGUUAUUGCCAUGGUUACUGCUCCAGCUUUGGCAACUGACCAUUGGAUGAAAAGAAUGGACAUUGGGCCUAACUCAAUCCCAAAAGUUAGCUUAUGAGGUGAGGAUUGCCCAAGCCAUAUAAGAAGACCAAGGACCUCAAAUACCUCCGAUGUGGGAAAACUCAACAUUGGGUUGGUGAUGAUCAAGGUUGGGUACUCAACUUUGACUACAAAGCUUGGGUUGCCACCAAAGAGUUCCACGUUGGAGAUACGCUCAGUAAGUUUUUAAAUGGAUUAAUUUCAUUCAUCUUCGUUCAAUUUUCAAUUUAUUACACUAAAGUUAUAAAACUACUUUUUGUAGCAAAAAAUAACUCAAUUAAUGGUCGUAAAAUGCUAAAUUCGGUCCCGGAAUCACAAGUAGGACAUCACUUAAAGAAAUACGAAACCUAAUUUCUGACCCAACUUAAUACCUGAUGUCCUUUACCAUAUGCACAUCAUGCAUUUUUGGAUUGAAUUUUAAGCUGGUUAAAUUAACUUUUAAAAUUUUUGUUGUAUUUUUUAUUAUUUGACAAUAUUAAUGAAUAUUUAAAAUAAGUUAAAAAUUGUUAAUUAAAACGAGCCAAAAUCAAUAUGCUUGGUAACCCCAACUUGGCGUAAAAACUAUUUAUGUUGAAAUGCCACUUUUUUAAGUCAAUUCAAAUGGACUUUUAGUUGAUGUUAAAUAUAUUUUUCAUGUACAAUAGCUCAUUUGGUUUACAACAGGGUUACUUUUUUUAUUUUCCCAAAUUUGAAUCAACGGACAACUUAGGAUUGGAUUAAUGAUUCCAUAUUAAUUUCCAUUGACAGAAGAUAAUACAUCAGUAUGAAGUAUUAUUAAUGUGGACAGAAUUCUGAGUGAAGACGCUGGAGUAGCUGCUAAUUAAAUACAGUGCAUAUUAUGGUCCACUAAUUUGUAGAGUUUAAGUUACGCGCCUCGACAAGAUAUUAGUUUUUAUACGGAGAAAUUCAAAAUAGUCAGAUUUAUAAUUGGUCGUUUAAAAAUAGCCCAAUUUUAAAAAUAAUUGAAAUUUAAUCACUUUUUAUAUAAAGAUAAAUUUGAGCAAAAAUAUUGUUCAAAAUCCGGAAAAUACUCCAGUAUACUAUGCUGGAGUUCCAACAUAAGUACUUGAACUUCGGCAUAUUAUACUGAAAUUCAAGGAUAAAUAUGCUGGAACUCCAGCAUAAUAUUAUGGAGUUCCAAUAUAAGUACACUAGAACUCCAGCAUAAAUAUGAUGGAGUUCCAGCAUAAGUACACUAGAACUUUAGCAUAAUAUACUGGAGUUCCAGGAAGUAUAUUGGUCGGUGCUCCAGUCUCUAGUAUAUUAUACUGGAGCCAGCAAAGUAUAUCGGUCCAGCAUAAUAUGCUGGAGUUCAUACACAAGUGCCUACAGUCUCCGGUAUAGUAUACAGGAGCCAGCAAAGUAUACCGGUCCAGCAUAAUAUGCUGGAGUUCAUACACAUGUGCACUGAACUCUAGUAUAUUAUGUUGGGCUGGUCUCUAUUGCAGCAAAAUAAUGGCUAUUUUUUAUUGACUUGGUAAACGCUGACUAUUUUUAAUUGACCAGUCCGAAAACUGGCUUUACCGUGCUAUUUUUACUUUUUUACACAUCAUGUUAAGUUGGCCUACCAUAACAUAUGAAAAUGUCAAUGUAAAAUUGAACUGAUGGUGUAAGAUUCAUUAUACUAUCAGUGUAUUCGACUUAAAUCCAUACUUAUGACUAAAAAGAGUACAAUGGGUAAGAAAUUGAACCAAUUUUUUUGUGAUGCAGUCUUCAAAUACAAGCAAGGAGCUCACAAUGUGUAUAGAGCAGAUCAGGGUGCCUUCCAAAACUGCACAACAUGUAGUUUUAUUACACCCUUAACUUCUCACAACACCAGGAAAAAAAUGGUACUUUUGUGGAGUAGGGAAACACUGUGCCAAAGGAAUGAAACUGGCUAUCAAAGUUUUGCUUGAAUUGGGAUCUCCUGCUACUGCACCUUCUCCAGGUGGCCUUGCUUCAUGAACUAAGGAUUAGUUCGUGUUUUUGGUCGAGGGGGCGAUUGACAUGAACCCUUAAUUUUUGUCUCCGGUUUAUGUUUCUUCAUUCGAAGGCUGAAUCCGCGUAUUGUCAAGUUUACAAAAGUCACAGGUAGUGGGAGAAAUAAAGCAGCAUUUGCUUGUUUUUUCUUUUCUUUCUGUAUGUUUGUGCGUUGGUUUAUAUUAUGCUGGUGUUUUUUGUUUCUUUUUUGACUCGGUUUUGUUUUGUUAGUACUCCUCUAUAAUUAAUUUUAUCACAUUUCAUUCAUCACCAGCAUUUAUGCCCCCAUGAUAAUACCAUGAUCAUACGGUCCCCUCCCCCUAGCUCCAAGUGGAUGAAGUUUGCCAUAAACUUGCUGCUGAAUUUGUAUAUCCUGCAAUUGCACAACCUAGUCCAUGUGGCCCUGCUUCAACUACCUUUGGCAUUCAUUGCUUCUUCACAAUUGGUUGAAGCAAUGGGUUGCGAUAUUAUUGGUCAUUGUUCAUAAAGAUAAAAAUAAUUCGAUGUACUAAGCUUCUUUAUAUGUAGAGUUCCAUGUUCUGAACAAUCUUUGCUUAAUUUAAGUGUAGUGGGCCUUUUUAAUUAAACCUCUUAGAGAAUAUUUGAUUAUGGUGUUAUCUUAGCUAGUUUAAGCACAUUCCGUUCUUUUUUAUCAUUACAUAUACCGGGAAACUCUGCCAUCAAGACUUAGGCAAAUAUAUCAUAUAGUUGCUGUUGCUUUCAAGAAACUCAUAACUAAAUCGCCCUCACACGGUCUGAUUUUUGAUCGACCAAACGACACCGUCCUGAGUUCCCCCCACUUAAUUUCAAUCCUAACCUUCCAUCUGAUUGCAUCAAACAGCUCAAAUUAUUUCGCUAUCCCCCUUUAAAAAUGUCCAAACCCCCUCAUUUAACCUAGUACAUUGUACUAUUUCUGUCUCAUCUCCCUCAUCAAACCCUAACGCCGCCUUGCCAAUCUCCGCCAUGUUUGUCGGCGGCGCUACCUCCAAUCAACCCCAAAUAAAAAUCACACAACCCUCACUCACCCCCGACUCCCAAGCCAUCACCAUAUUCCUUCAAAUCAACGCCAAACGAACCCAAUCUUAGAUCUGAAAAAGGCAGGAGAGAAAACAACAAAUCUUUCGAAUUUUUCUCAGUUUUGACAAGAUAUUAGGAGUCGAAUCUGGCCUCGCUCGUCUUUUCUUGACAAGAAUACAUGGUUGAGGCCAAUUUCGACUCAAAAUCAACACAUCUGCAUGCUUUCAAUCCAUGCUCGUUUGUAGUUUCCUUUAGGUACUCUCUUUCUUCUAUUUUUCCCGUUCUUUUAUUCUUUUUCUCAUCUUUAUCUCUUUCUAUCUCCUCUUUUCUUUUUUCUUUAUUAUGUUUUCGUUUUUAAUCAGUGUUGUUGCAUGAUUAAACUAAUAGAAAGUUUAGUUAUUUUUGUUUUGGUUCUUAUUAGUUCCUUUCCCCUUUCUGUUUUGGUUUCAUUCCAAUGGUCUCUGCUUUUUCUUUUGGACAAUUCCGGUUAGCCCAUUAGUUUUGUGAGCUUAGAUUUUGAUUGGAAUGUGGGCUGUGUCAACAGAGGAGCAAAGAGGAAAUUAGGCUGGGUGCAACCCGAUUUGGGGUUGUUGUUUGGGACAAUUUGACCCAUUUGGUUCCAAAGAUAAAUAAUAUAGGUUUUAAGGUUAGUCUAGAAAUUUUAGUUUAGGAAAUCUAUCAUAACUGACUUAGGAAACUUCCUGAAAGGUGAGUUUGCGACUGUAUAAAAAAUAAACUUUAUAUUCAGGAAUUCACUAGCAAAAAUGAGAAUUAUAAAACGAGUAAAGGUCAAAAAGUGAAAUCAUUUCUGUUGUCCUAGAGCUCCUCUAUAAAAGGCUUUUACUUCCUAAUCAGGUGAGAUUUUUUGGAGAAUAAAAAACACUGAAAAGCUUAGAAAAUGGCUGAGUCUCUUUCAAACUCCAAAAAUACUGAAAAUUACUGAACGAUUUACUUGGUUUCUGGUUCUUUGAUUCCCUUUGGUUAAUUAGAUUUUCUAGAAGUUCCAAAUCGUGCACCUGGAUUAAAAAUGGUUUGCGGUUGGUUUAAAAGUUUGGUUUGAGUUGUUGUUUGGCACUGGUCCAUUGCUGUUGAUUUACUGUUGCUGCUUCCUCCUAAUCUCAGGCUUUUAUUCUGGUUUAUUUUGUUGUAUUCAAGUACAUGUUUCUGGAUCCUACUUAUGUGAGGCUCGAUUUGAAGUAUGAAAUUGAAAUAUGGAGCUUUAAGCAUAGCAUCGACUCACCUGCUCAUAAUUUAGCUUUAUUUUCGGCAUUACAUUGUUCUGAGUUGUCUGAUGUAUUGCAUUUUAUCCGGGCUGCUGACAGUACUCUCUUAGGGGCUAUAUUUGGACUUUACUUAACAUGGAAUUCAAUUAUCUGUCAAGUAUCUUAUAGCUAGAUGUUGCUGUGAUAAUUGAACUCUUAUCAUUGUAUUUGAUCUUGGACUAUUAUGAUGGAAACUUGAUGAACAAUAUGCUUAGUCAGAUCAGUUGCUAAAUUCUAUGCGCAAUCAUGUUGAUAUUGUGUAAUUUGGACUGAAAAUUUGAACUCUGUCUAUCAUGUAAUUAAUUUGGAUUGUUGUAGUAUGGUUUAUUGUAGACAAGUAGUAUCUUAUCUUGGAAGUUAUUGACUGAAUUGUUUCCCAACUAGUAGUCAAUCUACAGUGAGUUUUCUAAUACUUUUGUUGUGCCUAUAGAUAUUAUACUUGGAAGUAAAUAUUUGUGUUUGUUUCUUUUCAAAGUUUGGUACUGGAUCAAACUGCAACUCUAAUAUUGUAAGUAUGUGGGUAGAAGUGAAUGGCGCAAUAUCUGAUUUUUGAAUGAAUCUCAUAGGGUGACAUUAAUUUGACUAGUAGCAUGUUUAGUAAGCCAUUUUUAAGUUUAGCAAGUAGUAUUGUAAUUUAGACCCUAUGGUCAUCUUGAAGGACAGUAUUGCUUUUAAAAUCGCUUACAUAGAUGUUCCUGCAGAGUGACUUUCGAAAUUUGUCUGAGAUUUUUUGUUGUGUGUAAAAUUGUUAGUUGGGCAUUGCUUAUGCCUGAUUUCUUGAUUUACCAUUGCCCUUCCCAGGAGUUGAAUUCCAAGUGAUUUCGCUCGACUCAUUUUGAUUGGGCAGUAUCAUCGGCCCAGUUGUACCUAAUGUUUCCCCUUAUCGAUCACAUUCCCAAUUUGGGCCUCAUGUUGAGCCUAGCCGUGUCCAUGUGUUUCGUCAUGGAACCAAUAUGCAACGGUUGAGUUUGUGGCCAGCUUAGGCCCCAUUAAACAACCAAAUACCGGGUUUCACUUAUUGUUAGCCCAUUAGUCUUAAAUGGGUUCGAACAUUAGCCUAAAAUAAUUAUAAUUCCUUUAAGCCUUUCUUAAUUAAUUAGACUCUUUGAAUUAGUUGGAGGUGUGUCAUAUUAGCCAAGCGUACAAGUUAUGACCCUCAAAACCAAAUUUAAAAACUUUUUCGAUAGAAUAAUUCGAGACGUGCCAUGCUGAAUAAAAUUUUAAAACCUGUGGCCCUCAAUUAAUUAAUUUUAACUCUUUAGAAAUUGAGGUGUGCCAUUAGUUGAAUCUUCCAUGGCCCUCGCAAACCUUGUUAUUAACUUGAAAGCGAAUAGUUGCUUUAGCCGCGCUAUUUGAAAAAUUAAUUUCCUAAACUAGGGUGUGCAUUCCAUGUGACCUAACUCCAAUUCUCAAAAAUGUUAAAUGAAAUGUGUCGUGGACCGCAUGUGCAUUUCAUGUGACGUGGUUCAAGAUGUGUUUUUGAUAACGUUGAAAUUUUCUAAAAUUAAUUAAAAGCAAUGAACAAGUAAAAAUGUACCAUCGGCCAAAAUGUUUAAUUAAAAUCAGAUAAUAGGCCAAUUAUAAUAGUUUGAGUGACCAUGCUAGAACCACAAAACUCGAAAAUGCCUAACACCUUCUCCCCAGUUCGGAACUCCUUACUUAGAAUUUCUGGUUCGCAGACUUCAAAAGGAAAGUCAAAUUUCCUCUAUUAGGGAUUUAAAAUAAAAUGGUGACUUGGAACACCAUAAUUAUUCCAAGUGUCGACUCUAAAAUAAAUAAAUAAUUUCAUUUCGAAUAAUAUCAUUUUAAUUCGUAAAACUCCCUAUAUAUACUCUUGGGGUGUGUAAAAGGAGGUGUGACAGUUCUAGCGACUCUGCUGGGGAUCUAAACCCAGAACUUUGGUUCACGUUUUAAGAACUCGCACUUUGAAUAACAGUUAUAGUUAGCUAGUUUUAUCUGAUAUUUACAUGUUGAGCCUAAUGUGCUUAUUGCCGCUUUUUACCACUUUGAUAUUGCCUUAAUUGCAUAUAAAACUAUUACAAACCCCUCUUUUCUCUGAAUCUUCUAAAUCAUUUGGGAAGUGUGCACUUCGUGUGACUUCUUUUCUGUUAGAGUCAUAUCCUAAUUUUAGAACGAGGUUCAGACAAGUUGUAAAGUCGGUGAAGCUUCAGUAUUCCCGGUAUGCUACCCCCUCCCCUCAGCUCAAGCUGUCCGCUCGGGUAAGCCAGGUCUAGAUACACCCAGGGUUCUAAACCUAUUAUACAAAGUCUCAUGCCGGAUCCUUAGUAGGAACAUUUGUUUGCAUCACGUGCAUUUAACUUUGGAGACUCAGAAAAGGGGCUGGGUCCGUCUAGGACAGGUGUACCCAAAUUAAAAAGACCAUCCUGAUGCAUCUUACGUGUUGCUUGAGCAUCUGUUCGUUUCGACUUUAAUAUUGAUCGGGUUCUAGAACAGGGAAAGAAAAUUAAAAAAAAGAAAAAAAAAAACAAAGAUUGAGGUAGGUAUUUGAAAAUCUUGAAAUUCUUCCGAAAUUCGCAAAAUAGAAAGUCAUUUCAAAAUGAGCCAAAAUUUUCAAGUAUCAUAUUUUCAUGUUCUAUCAAAGUUGUCUGAAUUACGCGGGUCUGAUUCUAACCGAAUGUGAGAUACGCAGGCAAACUUUAUCGGUUCCGACCCUAAUUUUCAAAAAUCCAAAAAUAUUUUCCUUUAGUUCCUUCUUUAGAAAUCUUUCCUUAGAAAAGUUCGAAAAAAAAGAAGUUUUUUAAACUCAAAAAUAAUUUCCUUCUUUCUAAUGUCUUUCAUAAAAAAAAUCAAUAAAAAUCAAAAUUCAAAAACACGUGUUUCCUUCAUUUUGCAGUAUUUUUCCAAAAUUCAAAAAAAAAUCAGAAACAAAAAUCCAAAAAUAUUCUUUUUCUUCUUUAGAUGGUUUUCUUUUGUAAAUGUCCAUAAAAAUUUUGGAAAAUUAAAAGUCCAAAAAUAUUUUUUGUUUUUCCUUAGAAAUACUUUUGUAAAUAAAUAAAAAGCUCAGAAAUUCAAAACAUUUUUCUUAAAAGUUUCUCUUUCAAAGAAAAAACAAAUGAAAAUUCAAACAAAAAUAUUUUCUUUACUUUUAAAAUUCUCAAAGUUCAAAUCAAAGGGAAAGGAAUUCCUUUUGAAGUUUUUCGUUCAAAAAAAAAUAUUUUCCUUCUUCUUUAGAAGCCUUUCUUUCAAAAAAGUUUCAAAAACAUCGAAAUAAAAAAAAAAUCAAAAAUGUUUUCUUCCUUCCUUUAUAGUCUUUCUUUCAAAAAUAAAACAAAAAUCCAAAUCAAAAAAUAAAAAAAUUACUUCCUUUCUUCUUUUGAAGCAUUUUCUUUCAAUAAUUCCAAAAAAAAAAAGUUAGUUUAUUUUUUCGAUUCUCGAUCUUCCGAACUACGCAAGAUCUAAUUUAUGCGGUAUCAUGAUACAUAGGCAAUCCCCAUCGGAUUCUAUCAUAGCCAUAAAAUUAAGUGAGUGAAAAAUAAACUGGAAAAAGUAGAGUGAAAAAAAAAGAGAAAAAAGAGCGAUAAAAAAAUAAAAGAUUGACAAAAAAAGUGCCAAAAAAUAAAAGAGCACCAAAAACAAAACAAAAAUCAAGAGUGAUUAGAGAGAAACAAAGAUGAAGAAAAAAGGUCUAUACUGAAAGGGUUAGUUAGGGCCGGGAUGAAACAUGCAACCGUUCAAACACGUGGUAGAAGCAUUUAACUGUUAGGUGCAUUGCAUCCUAACGUGUGAUUUCCUAUAUAUUAAAUGUCUCAAAACUAACAAGAUUGUUGGGUGUGCAAAUUAAGAUCUGUUUAGGUGGUUGGUUUUGUUGGUAUGCAGUGAUAACUGUGCAACCUUGCACGCGUCCACAAUAUUAUAUACAAAACCAAGCUUCAGCUCCCAAAAAUGUCAAUCAUUACCAAGCUCUAUAUAAUCCCCGAUCAAAUGUUCCCCAGUACAAUUCUUGCCCAAGAGCGCCUUUCAAAAGGAAUUAGUUCACCUGUAUUGGUGAAUCAUGCUCGGCUUGUUCCAAAAGCUAGUCAGGCAAGGUCUGCUGCAGCCAGUGGCCCCAAAUCAGCCAAAUCCCAAGUCCCCUCGCACUGAGCUGAUACUAGAUGUGCUGACCAUUCGGGGGCGGAGGGCAUGAUACAGAUGACUGUUGGACCCUGAAAAAGGUUGUGGAAAACCUCAUAGAACAAAAGUGAAUUAUGCUAAGGGACGAAGACGUUCCUAAUUUAACCAACAAUCAAUUAUCGGCUCACAACAACGGGUCGGUUAUUGGAAUGAUCUGUGAAGAUAGAGAGUUUGACCAAGCUUUAAAGGACAUCACUGCCAUAGCCGAUGUGGAAAAGAAACCAAGGAUUGUUGCAAAACAAGGCAAGGGGGAGAAGAAGAGAUAACCCACCCCUCAUAAUACAGAAAAGAAAGAGGAAACCAAAGAUGGGGCAGCGCCUCAAAAGAUGACGUUCUCUAUGUUUCCCGGGGCCACAAGAAAGAAUAAAUAUCAUCGAGCCCUCCAAGAAGUUUUGAGCGAAACAAAUUAUCUAAAAUGUAUGUGCCUAAAGGGACCUACGUGGUGCGUGGGCCAGUAACUCCACCAAGGCUGAAUGAGCCCGUGGUUAUUAGUCGUGCAGUGUACAGGCCCAUGGCAGACUAUGGAAUUACUAUAAGGCGGUAGUAACUUACAGGGGUAAAGAGAUCCUAGGAGAAGCAAAGGAAAGUAGCCGGGCUGAGAAAUACCUUAAUAUGGAGGAACUGAAUAAUUCCACGAAGAAGCAUUUCCCACUCAAGAAGCCAGUGAGUGCUGAAGAAGCAGAAGAGUUCGUCCAAUAAAUGAAAAUGGCAGACAACGAGAUAAUUUACCAACUUCGGAUGUCCCCUGCUCAGGUCUCUUUGUUGUCCCAGCUAAUGGAUUCAAAUGAACAUCAGAAAGUAUUGGUCAAAACCCUCAAUGAAGUGUAUGUACCCAUUGAAACCACUAUGGAAUAGUUGGACAGGAUGGCAGAAAGGUUUUUUGCAGCCAAUCAAAUCUCUUUCAGCAAGAAUGAUUUGUCCCCGGAAGGGGCCACCCACAACAAAGCCUUUCACCUGACAGUUAAAUACGAGGGAUAUUAUGUGAAAAGGGUCAUGCUGGAUGGUGGUUCCAGAGUAGAUAUUUUCCUUCUCUCAACUCUGCAAAGAAUGGAGAUCACUGAGAGAAUCAGGCCCUACAACAUCUGUGUGCGUGUCUUUGAUAGCGUCAAGAGAGAUACCAUUGGUGAAAUUGAUUAUACUCUGACUAUUGGUUCGGUGGAUUUUGAGGUGAUCUUUCAGGUCUUAGACAUGGAUACUUCCUAUAAUUUCCUCUUAGGAAGACCUUGGAUUCACGUAGCAGGGGUUGUACCUUCUACUCUCCACCAGAUGGUGAAAUUUGAACAUGAAAAUCAGGAGAUUGUAGUCCAUAGGGAGGACGAACAGUCGAUUUACCAGGGCCCAUCAGUCACAUGUCUCAAAGCCAGAGAAUGUAGUGAGCAUAUAGCUUAUCAAGCUUUUGAAGUGGUGGCCGCGAGACCAAUAUGAGGGAGGGAAACCCUUGUCCUCAACCUUUUCUGCCAAAUGCAUCCAUCAUGGUCGUUGUUGAAAUGAUCAAACGUUGUUAUGAGCCUGGUAAGGGACUCGAGGCAUCACUGCACCAAGAAGUUCUUUGAUGUAGGCUUUCGCACCACAAAAGCUGAUGUGACAUAGGCAAUAGAUGAAAGAGCGGUGGUUAGGUGUUACCUUAACCACUUCUGCAUCUCUAUAGAACAUUCGUCAGGCCCAAGUACAACGAGGAAGAAGAAAAUGAGGCCUUCACGGCCGAGGAAAUUGAAGAAAUCUGUAGUUUAUGAGGCAAAUGUUGUACGAAACCCUUAUUGUUUAGCCGGGAGAAGGCUCAAGCACCGCUAAGGUGCUAUACAUGGGACCUAAUGCCAAGUUACAAAAUUGAAAGGCUACUCUUUUUCCAAUCAGGCGAGAAUUCCGGUAGUCUAAUCCAACCACUUUUUUUGCAUUAGGAGUUAUAUAAGGGUGCAACUCGAAUGUUUUCUUUUAGUUUCCUAUCUUUAAUUCCAAUGUAAACCCUGUUAUCUACAAAAAUUCAAUGAAAUGAAAUCAAUAUUUCAUCGUUCAUAUCUCUUUACUCUUUCUGAUUUUUGUUUCUUUUUCUUAUUUCUUCUUUCAGUUGUAAUAAUACGGCUUUAAAUAACAUGACAUGCUUGCGGACAUCAUGCCAUGAUCGAAAAACAUUGUCUAAUUGUGAAAUAAUGAACCAAGAACCGGAAUAUGAUGAAGAAGAGGAUUUUAAGGAAAUAAAUCAAGAAUUAAAACAAUUUGAGAAUAAACCUAAGCCGAACUUAAGUGAUACUGAGCCGGUUAAUUUGGGUAGUUCUGAAGAAUUCAAAGAAACCAAGAUAAGCAUUCACACAUAUGAAAAGCCCCGGGACACAUUGAUCCAACUUUUGUUUGAAUUCGAAGAUGUGUUUGCUAGGUCAUACAAUGACAUGCCAGGACUAAGUGUUGAUUUGGUGGCUCACAAGUUUCCAACCUACCCUAAUCAUCCCCUUGUCCAGCAAAAGCAAAGAAAGUUCAAAACUGAUAUCAUUGACAAGAUUAAAGAAGAUGUCAAAACAAUUAAAAGCAGGGGUGAUCCGAGUGGUUCGAUACACGACACAGUUAGCAAAUGUAGUUCCAGUACCAAAAAAAGACAGGAAAACUCGAGUAUGUGUGGACUACAAAGAUCUGAAAAAAGCAAAUGCCAAGGAUAAUAUUCCUUUUCCAAAUAUCCAUAUCCUUGUUGAUAAUUGUGCCAAACAUAAGAUACACUAUUUCGUGGAUUAUUCUGUAGGAUAUCACCAGGUGUUGAUGGAUGAAGAAAAUGCGGAAAAGAUAGCUUUCACCAUACCUGGGGGCACCUACUGUUACAGGGUUAUGUCAUUUGGUCUAAAGAACCCUGGAGAAACCUAUAUGAGGGCAAUGACUGCCAUUUUUCAUGACAUGAUGCACCAAGAGAUAGAGGUGUAUAUGGAUGAUGUGAUCAUCAAAUCCAGGACCCAAGACGACCAUGUUCGGGACUUGAGAAAAUUAUUUAAGCGGCUGCGCAAAUAUGAUUUGAAACUAAAUCCGGCCAAAUGUGCAUUUGUGGUUCCGUCUGGCAAACUCUUUGAUAUAUAGUCAGUCGAAGGGGCAUCAAGUUAGACCCAACAAAGAUAAAGUAUAUUUGAGAUAUUUCCCCCUCCAAGAACUAAGAAAGAGGUUAUGAGCCUGGUGGGAAGGUUGAACUAUAUUAGCCGAUUCAUAGCUAAGUUGACUUCUACACGUGAACUGAUCUUCAAGCUGUUAAAGAAAGAUGCAGUAGUCAAAUGGACGAUGAGUAUCAAGAAGCCUUUGAUAAAAUCAAAGAAUACGUGUCAAACUCACCAGCCUUGGUCCCACCUAAACCGGGAGGCCUCUGUUUUUGUAUCUGGCGGUCUUGGAAAAUUCCUUUGGCUUUGUUCUUGGACACCACGAUGUGAUCAAAAAUAGAGAGCAGGCAAUCUACUAUCUGAGCAAGAAGUUUACCAGUUAUGAAGUCAAUUACACUUUGUUUGAAAGAACUUGUUGCGUCCUGACUUGGGUCACUCAGAAGCUUGGGCAUUACCUGUUGGCCUAUACCACUUACCUCAUCACUAGGUUGGAUCCUUUAAAGUACAUAUUUCAGAAGCCAAUGCCGACAGAGAUGUCAGCAAAAUCGCAGAUCCUGCUCACUGAAUUUGACAUAGUCUACGUCACCCGUAUGGGAAUGAAAGCCCAUCUUUAGCAGAUCACCUGGCUGAAAAUCCUGUUGACGAUAAAUACCAGCCUUUAAGCACCUACUUUCCGGAUGAAGAGGUAAAUUUAGUUGAGAUAACAUCAGAAGACACCAAUGCUUGGAAAAUGUUCUUUGAUGGAGCUGUGAACGCAAAACGUGUUGGAAUUGGGGCAAUCUUGAUCUCACCCACUAGUCAGCAUUAUCCAGCCACAGCCCGGCUUCGGUUUUUCUACACAAACAACACCGCCGAGUAUGAAGCCUAUAUUAUGGGUAUGAACAUGGCAAUCGACCAAGAUGUUGAAGAUUUUUUUAUCAUGGGAGAUUCAAAUCUGAUUACCCGACAAGCUAAAGGAGAAUGGGAGAUCCAGGAUGUCAAGCUUAUUCCCUAUAGGCAACAUGUAGAAGAUCUUAGCAAGCGGUUCAAGUCAGUAGAGUUUGGGUACAUUCCUUGUUUUCACAAUGAGUUAACUGUUGCACUCGCUACCUUAGCCUCGAUAUUGACAUACCCAAGCAAUGAUCACAUUGACCCGUUGGAAAUCCAAAUCUGAGAAAGGCACGGUUACUGUAACACGGUUGAGGCAGAACCGAAUGUUCGACAUGGUAUCAUGAUAUCAAAAGAUUUCUGAAAACUAAAGAAUAUCCCGAUCAAGCAGUAGAGACCAAAAUAUAACUAUUAGACAACUUGCAAGCAGUUUCUUCUUGAGCGGUAAGGUCUUAUACAAAAGGACUCUGGAUCUCAACUUAUUAAGAUGUGUUGACGUCGAAGAGGCCAGAAAAAUCAUGUAUGAAGUGCACGCAGGGGUGUGUGGACCCCUUAUGAAUAGGUAUUAUUAGGCAAAGAAAAUCCUCCGAGCAUGCUAUUAUUGGAUGACUAUGGAAAAGGAUUGCUUCAAUUUCGUCCGGAAAUAUCAUCAAUGUUAGGUGCACGGUGACUUGAUUCAUGCACCGCCUACAUAAUUGCAUCCCAUGUCAGCACCUUGGCCAUUUGUUGCAUGGGGCAUGGACGUCAUUGGUCCAAUCGAGCCAUAAGCUUCAAAUAGGCAUAGAUUUAUACUGAUCGCUAUUAACUACUUCACAAAGUGGGUGGAAGCAUUUACUCUCAAAUAUGUCACCAGGAAAGUUGUGGUAGACUUUGUGAAUUCUUAUCGCAUCUAUCAUUCGGUCUUCCUGCAACUACUAUUACAGAUAAUGCUGCAAACUUGAAUAGUCACUUGAUGAGGGAGGUAUUUGAGAAGUUUAAGAUCAUACAUCAAAAUUCUAUUCCUUAUCGGCCCAAAGCAAAUAGCAUUGUCGAAGCAGCAAACAAAAACAUCAAGAAGAUUCUGAGAAAGAUGAUCCAAAGUUCUAGGAAAGGGCAUGAAAAGUUGCCAUUUGCAUUGUUGGGAUAUCGCACUACUCUGCGCACAUCAGUCGGAGCAACCCCGUAUCUUUUGGUUUAUGGCACUGAAGGCGUAAUACCCCCAGAAGUUGAAAUCCCUUCUCCCCGGAUCAUUGUUGAAGCUGAAAUUGAAGACAGUGAGUGGGUCAAAAUCUGUCUGAAACAGUUACCCCUGUUCAAUGAAAAGCGAAUGGUUGUAGUCUGCCGCAGGCAGUUGUAUCAACAAAUAAUGGCCCGCGCCUACCACAAGAUAGUGCGGCCUAAAAACUUUGAAGUGGGGCAACUCGUUUUAAGUCGUAUUCUACCCUAUCAUCAAGAAGCAAAAGGAAAGUUUGCUCCUAAUUGGAAAGGGCUAUGCAUUAUCAGAAAAUUGUUGCCAAAAUAGGCGUUAUACCUGGGAGAUGUCGAAGGGAAUGACCCCCAAACAGCUGUAAAUGCAGACGCAGUCAAAAGAUACUAUGUCGAAUCCUUCCGCAGCAACAGUAUUACCCAAUUGGGAUGACGAAAGAUUUCAUUCUCGCUACCCCAAACACUCCAACCCUUUGUUAACCCUUUGAACCGGUUAUCUUUCUUUUCAUUACCCUCUUUGGAACUUGAAGACGAAUGUUUUAAAAAAAAAGAAAAAGAAAAAGAAAAAAACAAAACAACAAGAACAAGAUGUUCCUUGAACUACGUUCGACUUGAUUCCGAAAAGAUAUGUAGGCAGCCUCUCUUUAGGGUUCACACACCAAAACAAAAAUCCAAUUUCCCCCAAUGAAAUUGGGACAUAUAUUAUAAUGGUUCAGCGAUGAUUCCGCUUGAACGGUUCCAAAGUUGUAAUUUAAUCCAAAUUCUUUUUACCUAAUCCUUGUUCAAGUACUUCCAAUCAAUCAUUGAAAGGUGUUCAAAAUCAAGAAACAUAGUUACUUGGAUUCGUUGAAAUCAAAAUAAGAGAAAUAAAAUAAGAGAGUCUUAUUGGUGAAGACCUUCGGGCAUCGUAACGCGAUAGUGAGUAGAGAAACUGAAAAAUGAAAGAGCCUUGUUAGUGAAAACAAGUAAGGAGCACUAUAAGGCGAUAGUGAGAAGAUAAAUGAGAGAGGCCGAUUGGCGAAAACCCGCAAAGGGCGCAGUUGAUAAAAAAGAAGAAACCCCUCAUCACCAUUGGCACUGAAAGAGUCUUCGCAAUGUUUCUUGGUUUUAAAACAUGGGUCACAAUGGGUUCAUGAGAAGUUGGAUAGUUUUGCAUAUCAGGCAUCCAGUCCAAGAAGCAUGUCAUGUCUAUUGAGGUCUGCUCUCCAAAUAAGUCCUUCUUUCCUCCCCGAAAGGGACGCUUCUCCAUAAAUUCACUUUCUUGUCCUUUGUUUACUUUAUUUUUGAAUCCUUUCAGUCUAACUCUGUUCCGAAACUAAUACAACGAAAAUGUGGCAAGAUUGGUUUAACAGGGUUCUGUUUUAAUAAAAGCCAAAGUCCAAAAAAAAGUACCCGGCCUCAGCGGGUGCAUCAAGUUGAUCUCGACUGGGCUUGAUGACCGAUGCUCCAAAAUCAAAGUUAUUGAAAAUAAAAGAAAUCAAAAGUCAAGUGCCCAUAGAUGCAGAAUAGAAUAAAAGGGCCAAAGCCCCUUAUGGGGUGAACUGUUAUGAGAAAUUUUGGAAAAGUUGAGUUCCUUGGUUUUAGAAGAAAGAUCAAUCUUCAGAAAGCCAGCAAGCAACAGAGGUUCUCACUAAAAGAGUUGGGCCGAGAUCAAGUGAUCAAAAACAAUCAAGGCCACAAAACCAACCACCGUUUCAAACUAACAAUUGUUUUUUUUUAAACAGAUGCAAUCCAAAACAACCGUGCAAGAAGCAUGUGCAACCAAAAAGAAAAGAAAUGUGCAAGUGCUGGAAACAGCUUUGCAACAAUAAUCCAUAAAAAGAGAAGUCUCGUCCAAAUUAUUUCCCGCAUUUACGCAUUACAUGAAAUAAAAAAUAAAGAAGAGAAAGGAAAACAAAAUGAAAAUAAAAAAGAUGAGAAAAAUAUGGUAGCAUAGGGUCCCCAAUCUCAAUCUUUUACACCUUUUGCCAACAUAGGGUCUCCGACUCCUAAUUGAUUAGACAUAUGGUCUCCACCUCCUAGUCAUCUUUUGCCAACAUAGGGUCUCCAACCUAUCGUUGAGAUUUUAGACAUAGGUCUCCACCCCCUAGUCGCCUUUUGCCAACAUAUGGACUCCAACCCUUAGUUGAGAUUUUAGACAUAUGGUCUCCACCCCCUAGUCGUCUUUUGUUAACACAGGGUCUCCAGCCCCUAAUUGAGAUUUUAGACAUAGGGUCUCCACCCCCUAGUCGCCUUUUGCCAACAUAGGGUCUCCAAAGCCUAGUCAAGAUUUGUUAGAUAUAGGGUCUCCAUCCCUUAGUCGCCUUUUGCCAACAUAGGAUCUCCAACCCCUAGUUGAGAUUUUGGACAUAGGGUCUAAACCCCCUAGUCACCAUUUGCCAACAUAGGGUCUUCAACCCCUAGUUGAGAUUUUAGACAUAGGGUCUCCACCCCCUCGUCGCCUUUUUCCAUAAUAGGGUCUCCAACCCCUAGUGGAGAUUUUUCUAGACAUAGGUUCUCCAUCCCCUAGUCACCUUUUGCCAACAUAGGGUCUCCAACCCCUAGUUGAGAUUUUUUAGACAUAGGAUCUCCAUCCCCUUGUCACCUUUUGCCAACAUAGGGUCUCCAACCCCUAGUUGAGAUUUUAGACAUAGACUCUCCACCCUGUAGUCGCCUUUUGCCAACAUAGGGUCUCCACUUCCUAGUUGAGAUUACUUUAGAUAUAGGAUCUCCAUCCCCUAGUCGCCUUUUAUUAACAUAGGGUCUCCAACUCCUAGUUGAGAUUUUAGAUAUUGGGUCUCCACGCCAUAGUCGCCUUUUGCCAACAUAGGUCCUCCAACCCUUAGUUGAGAUUUUAAACAUAGAGUCUCCACUCCCUAGUCUCAUUUUGCUAACAUAGGGUCUGCAACCCCUAGUUGAGAUUUUUUGACAUAAGGUCUCCAUUCUCCAUCCCCUAGUCGCAUUUUGCCAACAUAGGGUCUUCAACCCCUAGUUGAGAUUUUAGACAUGGGGUUUCCAUCCCCUAGUCACUUUUUGUCAACAUAGAGUCUCCAACCCCUAGUUGAGAUUUUUAGACAUAGGUCCAUCCCGUAGUCGCCUUUUGCCAACAUAGGGUCUCCAAUCCUUUGUUGAGAUUUUUUAGACAUAGGGUCUCCACCCCCUAGUCGCUUUUUGCGAACAUAGGGUCUCCAAACCCUUGUUGAUAUUUUAGACAUAGGGUCUCCGCCCCCUAGUCACCUUUUCCAACAUAGGGUCUCCAACCCCUAGUUGAAAUUUUGGACAUAGGGUCUCCACCCCAUAUUCGCCUUUUCCAACACAGGGUCUCCGAGCCCUAGUUGAGAUUUUAGACAUAGGGGCUCCACCCCAUAGUCGCCUUUUGCCAACAUAGGGUCUCCACUCCCUAGUUGAGAUUAUUCUAGACAUAGGGUUUCCACCCCCUAGUCGCCUUUUGUCAACACAGGGUCUCCAAUCCCUAGUUGAAAUUUUAGACAUAGGGUCUCCACCCCAUAUUCGCCUUUUCCAACACAGGGUCUCCAUUCCCUAGUUAAGUUUUAUUGAUAUAGGGCUCCACUCCCUAAUCUCUUUCUCCUAAAGACACAAUCCUUAUUUUAUCACAUUCAAAAAAAAUAAAUAGUUUAGACUUUAACUACAAAUAACUCCCGAAAUUUUCCUAGUGAAAACUGGUGCAGAAAAUUUCGUUUGUUUGGUUUUUGGUGUCUGAGCAGGUUUUACCUCGAGGCACAUGGUUCGAGACAACCAAAUGAAUGAGUCUCAAUCCAGAACAAAGAAAAGAAGAAAAGAACAAUAAAGAAGUGAACUCAAGGGGUGGAAGCGGAUAAAGAUGCGGAUUGCUCAAGAUAUGAUUGAAGUCACAAGUUGUGCAUGUCUUGCCUUGAUCCGAAAAGCUGAAGAAGAAGGAACCAGCACCUUCAGCUGAUGAGCAUCAAGAUUCAUAUCGGAGUCUGUAGCAAGAACCAGCCAAGAUUCAAGAUCAAGUUUCAAGAAAUUUAUAAAUAAAAAUCUUGUAACUCGUAGUUGAUAGGCUUAGCUAGUUUAGCUUUUUAUUUUUCCAUUUUGGUGUAAGAAGGAGUUCAGCAAGUAGUAGCAGCAGGAGCAACAGUAAAAUUACAGCUUCCUGGUAAUCGCAACUACUGAAACUUCCAGAAGUACACUAACCAUAUUCCUUUAUAACUAAUAAUAUGUAGGCAACCUCUGAAGCAAGGUUCGGCCAGGCUUUUUCAAAAUGCUUCUCAUGGAGUUUCAAACGGGAAAAAAUCCCUCAUAAAUGCUCAUUUUAUCUUUGUCUGAAAACUCUUCAUAUCUCCGAGCAAAGUGGGGCAGCUGUGAGCACGUGAUCUUUGCUCCACAUGAAUUACUCUUAUAGAAUUCCAAAGAAUUAGAUUUUUUCUUUUAAUUGUUUGAUAUUUUAGGAAUUAUUGUAAAAUUCUCCUAAUUAUUUGCAUUUUUUCUGUGCAUAUUUAAUUUUAUUUAAUUCAUAAAAAAUAUAAAAAUACAUCACAUUUGCAUUUAUGAUUUAAUUUAUAUUUAAGAUUAAUUAGUAAAUUAGUUAUUUUAUAAAAUAGAAAAAGUCAUUAAAAAAUAACUCAUCUUUUCGGAUUUUUAACUUUCAAUUUUAAAUUUCAUAGUUUUUCUUUUAAUUUGGGAAUUAAUAAUUUUUAACAUGCAACGGCUCAAAUUAUUCCCACAUCCCCCUUUAAAAAUGUCUGAACCCCCUCAUUUAACCUAGUACGUUGUACUACUUCUUUCUUUCAUCUCCCUCAUCAAACCCUAACGUCGCCUUUCGAAUCUCUGUCAUGUUUGCCAGCGGCGCCACCUCCACUCAACCUCAAAUAAACACCACACAACCCUCACUCACCCCUGACUCCCAAGCCAUCACCAUAUUCCUUCAAAUCAACACCAAACGAAGCCAAUCUUAGAUCUGAAAAAGGCAGAAAAGAAAACAAAAACUCUUUCGAAUUUUUCUCAAUUUUGACAAGAGAUUAGGAGUCAAAGCUGGCCUCGCUCGCCUGUUCUUGACAAGAAUACAUGAUUGAGGCCAAUUUCGGCUCAAAAUCAAUACAUCUGCGUGCUUUCAAUCCAUGCUCGUUUGCAGUUUCCUUUAUGUACUCUCUUUUUUCUAUUUUUCCUGUUCUUUUAUUCUUCUUCUCAUCUUUAUCUCUUUUUGUCUCCUAUUUUCUAUUUUCUUUAUUAUGUUUUCGUUUUUAAGCAGUGUUGUUGCAUGAUUAGACUAAUAGCAAGUUUAGUUAUUUUUGUUUUGGUUCUUAUUAGUUCCUUUCCCCUUUUUGUUUUGGUUUCAUUCCAAGGGUUUCGGAUUUUUCUUUAGGGAAACUCUGCUUAGCCCAUUAAUUUUGUGAGCUUGGAUUUCAAUUGGAAUGUGGGUUCUAUCAACAGAGGCCCAAAGAGGAAAUUAGGUUGUUUGCAAACCCGAUAUGCAGUUGUUGGUUGGGCCAAUUUGACCCAUCUGGUUCCAAGGGUAAAUAACGGGGAUUUUAAGGGUAGUCUAGGAAUUUUAGUUUAGGGAAUCUCUCAUAAUUCACUGAGGAAACUUCCUAAUAAGUGGGUUUGGGACUUUUAAAAAACAUAUUUUAAAUUCAGGGAUUCACUAGCAAAAAUGAGAACUAAAAAAGGAGUAAACGGCAAAAACUGAAAUCAUUUAUGGUACCCUAGAGCUCCUCUAUAAAAGGAAUUUCCUUCCUAACCAAGUGAGAUUUUUUGGAAAAUAAAAAACACUAAAAAGCUUAGAAAAUGGUUGAGUCUAUUUCAAACUCCAAAAAUACUAAAGAUUCUUGAACAAUUUGCUUGGUUUCUGGUUCUUUGAUUCCCUUUGGUUAGUUAGAGUUUCUAAAAGUUCCAAAUUGUGCACCUGGGUCGAAAAUGGUUUGAGUUGGUUUAAAAGUUUGGUUUGAGUUGGUUUAAAAGUUUGGUUUGAGUUGUUGUUCGGCACUAUUCCAUUACUGUUGAUUUACUAUUGUUGCUUCCUUCUAAUCUCAUGCUUUUAUUCUGGUUUAUUUUGUUGUAUUCAGGUACAUGUUUCUGGAUCCUACUUAAUGUGAGGCUCGAUUUGAAGUAUGAAAUUGAAAUAUGGAGCUUUAAGCAUAGCAUCGACUCACUUGCUCAUAAUUUAGUUUUAUUUUCUGCAUUACGUUGUUCUGAAUUGUCUGAUGCAUUGUAUUUUGUCCAGGCUACUGACUGUACUCUCUUAGGGGCUGUAUUUGGUCUUUACUUAAUGUGUAAUUCAAGUUUCUAUCAAGUAUCUUAUAGCUAGAUGUUGGUUUUGACAACUGAACUUUUAUCAUUAUGUUUGAUCUUGGACUAUUAUGAUAGAAACUUGAUGAACAAUAUGCUCAGUAAGAUCAGUAGCUAAUUCUAAACUCAAUCAUGUUGAGAUGGUGUAAGUUUGACUGAAUUUGAACUCUCUCUUCCAUGUAAUUAAUUUGGAUUGUUGUAGCGUUGUUUUUUGUAGACAAGUAGUAUCUUAUCUCAGAAGUUGUUGACUGAAUUGUUUCACAACUAGUAGUCAAUCUACAAUGAGUUUUCUUAUAGUUUUGGUGUGCCUAAUAUAUAAUGUACUUGGAAGUAAAUAUUUGGGUUUGUUUCUUUUCAAAGUUUGGUGCUGGAUGAAACUGCAACUUUAAUAUUGUAAGUACGUGGGUAGAAGUGAAUGGCACAAUGUCUGAUCUUUGAAUGAAUCUCAGAGGGUGG